AUGUCUCCAGCGCGUCCGUGCACGGGGCUGAGGGCCGCGGUGGCUGCCAGUAUGGGGUUGAGCGAGGGGCCGGCGGGCUCUGCCCGGAGCGGGCGCCUUCUCCGUCCGCCGAGCCCCGCUCCGGCGGCGCCGGGGGCCCGGCUGUUCCGGCUCCCGGGGAGCGGGGCCGUGCGGGCCGCAAACCCGGAGCGCGCCGGCUGGACCGAGGCGCUGCGGGCCGCCGUGGCCGAGCUGCGCGCCGGCGCCGUGGUGGCCGUCCCCACCGAUACGCUGUACGGCCUGGCCUGCUCGGCGAGCUGCUCGGAGGCACUGGGCGUCGUGUACCGCGUCAAGGGCCGCAGCGAGACCAAGCCGCUGGCUGUGUGCCUGGGCCGCGUGGCCGACGUCUACAGGUACUGCCGUGUGAGAGUACCUGAGGGGCUCCUGAACGACCUGCUGCCAGGACCAGUGACCCUGGUGAUGGAACGCUCGGAGGAGCUCAACAAGGACCUGAACCCCUUCACUCCUCUUGUAGGCAUCCGGAUUCCUGACCACGCCUUCAUGCAGGACUUGGCCCAGGUGUUUGGGGGACCUCUUGCUCUCACCAGUGCCAACCUCAGCUCCCAGGCCAGCUCUCUGAAUGUUGAGGUGCCUUGUGUGCGGUAUGACAUCAUUGCAGAUGCCAGAGGUGGUGUCCAUGCUCUUCCUCUCCCUCUUCUCAGGAAUUUCAGGACCUCUGGCCUCGCUUGUCCUUGGUCAUUGAUGGGGGACCAAUUGGGGAUGGCCAGAGCCCUGAGUGUCGACUAGGCUCAACUGUGGUUGACUUGUCUGUGCCUGGAGAGUUUGGCAUCAUUCGUCCGGGUUGUGCCCUAGAAAGUACUUCGGCCAUCCUGCAGAAGUAUGGGCUGCUCCCCUUACGUGGAUCCUGCUUGUGAAACUCCGGAGGAGGGAGGGCCUAAGGACUGGUGCUGGACACUAUGUGUCUGACUGCUGGUGGCUGGCAAGGCCUCAUUGGCAGAGGCCGCUGGGGCUACAAUGUUACUAGUCUGACCUUUUAAGACAAAGUUUCUUUCUGAACACUAUAGACCAGGCCUCAGAAGCUGCUAGUUAAGCCUCACACCUUGUUGGGGAGGUUAUAUUUAUUUAUAAUUUCAUAUAUGAGCCAAAAGCUGAAUAGAGGUUUUAAGAGCAUUUUAAGGAUGGCCUUGUUCUGAUAAGUUUUUUUUUUUUGAUCUUUGAAAAAUAAAUAACAGAUUUGGAAUCUAGUGAGAGCUUCUUCUCUGGUGGGUAGUGGCACUUAAGGUCCAAAUCAGCUAACACAUUGGUUGGUGCUUUUCAAAAGUCUCAAGUGACCAAAUGCAUGAGUUUUGUGCUUCUGAAGCUGGAACCAGUUUAGUAUAAAAAUUAAAACUAUAGAGCGAUCGACCAAACACUGCUUCCUCUGAACCAGGGGGCUGGUUCUUUGCUGUAAUUGCCUGGUGGAGAAUCAUCAUUUUGGUCUAAUGGUGGGAAGUAAGCUCAACUGGCACAGGGGUGGGGGGGAGUCCAAAUUAAGGAAUAUUGGAAAAUAAAUCUCUACUGUCCUGUCCAGCCACUUUUUUAUUUAUUCAUAAUGUAAAUUAUAAUGAAUUAUACCUGCAACACCUUUAUUUAAAUCCAGUGUCUACUUAGCAGCCUUUAUCUUUAUUCAUGUGUAUACAGGUGUUAAAAACAUACUUACUGUUGGGCAUUUGAACUUUGUUUUUUCUUUAAUAGAAAAAAAUGCUGUUAAACAUCUUUGUAAAUGUU